rnacentral:rRNA from 1 species
CACGUAGGGCGCAAGCGUUGUCCGGAAUUAUUGGGCGUAAAGAGCUCGUAGGCGGUCUGUUACGUCUGCUGUGAAAACCCGGGGCUUAACCCUGGGCUUGCAGCCGAUACGGGCGGGCUGGAGUUCGGUAGGGGAGACUGGAAUUCCUGGUGUAGCGGUGAAAUGCGCAGAUAUCAGGAGGAACACCGGUGGCGAAGGCGGGUCUCUGGGCCGAUACUGACGCUGAGGAGCGAAAGCGUGGGGAGCGAACAGG